UACAGAGGUCUCGAGCGUUAGGCGGAAUCACUGGGCUUAAAGCGUGUGUAGGUGGAUGCCUAAGUACCUUGUGAAAUCCCACGGCUUAACCGUGGAACUGCUUGGUAUACUGGGUGUCUUGAGUCACUCAGGGGCGAGCGGAACAAAUGGUGGAGCGGUGAAAUGCGUAGAUAUCAUUUGGAACGCCAAUGGUGAAAACAGCUCGCUGGGAAUGAUCUGACACUGAGACGCGAAAGCCAGGGGAGCGAACGGG
rnacentral:rRNA from 1 species